GGGCCUAGAACCCCAAUACACACAUCGAUCGACACAUCAUUUGGGUGCCUCGUGAGAGGUUGAAUGAUGGGAUCGGUGGAGGUUUAAC
rnacentral:sRNA from 1 species